UGAGCUUUGGGUACCAGCGCCUUGGAAACUGAGACAACCUCCCACUUCGUCCGCAGCCUACCCGGGGUACCAGGCUUGCAGGAAGGGACAUGACCACUUGCUUUGAUGAAAACAAGCCAUGAGGCACAAAGGGAAAAAGAAGGGAUGUGAAAAAGCAUGUCCCAGAAAAUAUGUCCAAAGAAAACAAGGGAUGAAAAAAGGAGAAAAGGACCUGCAUGCAUCAUCCAUAUAAAGCCAAUGAGAGGAUGAUCUGUCUUUGGGGGAAUGAUUGUCUGCUCUACCAAUGAAAGGUCAAUGACUGUUGCUGAGUGGAGAAGAUCAUGUCCAAUGUUUCUCAGAAUGAUCAGAAGCCGCACUGGAAUUCUGGAAGAAUUUUUUCUGAAAGUGGCAGAAGUUGAUUUGCAAGGAUUCAACCUAAGGUUUUCACUGUUGUUGCAAGGAGGGAGAUGCCACAAUAGUUUCCACAAUCUGAUUUGUCAUCCUUCUUGAAGAGACUGACAAUCAGUGUGUGUCUGAAUUCUUGAAGUAUCUGCUCCUUAUUCCAGAUCUUGAGAAUCAGGAGAUGGAGUUGUUUGUGAAGUACUGGCCCACCUUCUUUGAAGACUUCAGUGAGGAUUCUGUCUAGUUCAGUUGCCUUGUUGCUCUUGAUUGCUUUGAUGGCAGGUUGGACCUCAUUCAGGGUAGGAAGUAUAGCAGGUUGUUGCUAAGGGAUUCAGUCAAGGGAUUCUGGGACUAUGGUGAAGGGACGGUUCAGGAGCUCAUAAAAGUGCUCCCUCCAGAGAGAAGCAAUGUCUUCAUUGUCUUUUAAGAGUUGGGUACCAUACUUUGAUCUCCGGGGAUUAAGUCCAUGGUUUCUCAGUCCAUAAAUAGCUCUAGUGGCAUUGAAGAAACCUCUCAUAUUGUUGAUAUCUGUGAGAUGCUGGAGUUCUUGUGCCUUCUCAGUCCACCAUUGAUUUUUCAGAGUCCUUGAUUUGUGUUGGACUUCUGUCUUGGCCUUGGCAUGUGCUUCUCUCUUUGUUGCACGGUUGAUGUCACUUUGCCAGUCCCUGAAGGCUUUCUUUUUUGUCUCAAUCAGAAGUUCAGUUUCCACAUCAUUCUCACCAAACCAGUCCUGAUGUUUCCUGGACUAGGAGCCAGUGGUUUCUCCACAAGCUCCAAUGAUAACAUUUUUCAACUGACACCAGUCGUCUUCCACAUCUUCAGGGUGUACUGUCAACAGCUUCCUUUGGAGUGCUAUCUGGAAGUGACUUCGUCUGGUGAGGUCCUUCAAGCCUUGUAUGUUAAUCUUUAAUUGGAACAUUUUCUUCUGGGUUCUCCAUUUGGUGACAAUCCUAACUGCCAUCGUGGACCGGAUGAGGUGGUGAUCGGUCCAGCAGUCAUCAAUGCUAAUCAUUGUAUGUGUGAGGACAUCACGCUGAUCCUGAGAGCAGAAGAUGACAUAAUCUAUGAGGUGCCAGUGCUUCAAUCGAGGAUGUUGCCAUGUGAUCUUAAAUUUUGGAGGUUUUAGGGUUCACAGGACACAAGAGUUGGUGUUGAUGAUGAUGAUAAGGAUCUUACGCAAAACGGGGGU